rfam:Agrilus planipennis Contig1081, whole genome shotgun sequence.
ACUACAUUCAGAUAUCACCUUUCAAAUAUUCCGGAGAUAUAUAUAAAUCAACUUCGACGAUUACCGACUCGAGGAGGGGUUUUAGUCGGUAGGCGCUGCGGCGAAUCCGACACUACCCCCCUUCAGGGGGUGUCUUUUGAAGAUUUCUCCUCCUCGAGG